UCCCUGCCUACUUGAAGCCUUCCUGAGGCCCAUGCGAGCAUUUAGAGGCCCUGCUUAAGUGGCACUAAAAGGCAAUUCUGGAAAGUAAUUGACUGGUCUGGUGGGUAGAGGGGGAGAAGGAAGAAGAAAAGGAAGGUGACAAUGACUUGGCCUGAGUUCCUGCACUGCCAGAAGCAGCAGCACUCCUAUUAUGAUUGAUUCUAUUUGAGAUGCUCAAGAGAAAUGAGCAGUAUAUGUGGUUCCACAUUUUCUUUAUCGUCCAGCUGGGAGGGGAGGAGGAAAGGGAAUGGGGGUGUGAGGGGGAAUUCAUUUGCACAUCUAUUCGAAAUGCUUUGUGCUGAGGUAAAGAUGAUUCCGAGGACAUGAGCUGCUGCAGCAUACAGAUGUGUUUGUUUAGUUAAUUGAGUUGUCAUGGCAACUACUUCAUCUUAACUGCCACAGUGUAUAGGUUGUCACUGCAGCUGAUGACUCUAAGCAAACCAUUAUACUUCCAACAAAAUCAGGUAACUGUUUGGCUGGGUUACAAGUUAAAAAAUGUCAUUUUGAUGCCCCCCAGAACACACGAACAAAAUCUGACUUACUUUUUAAGAGCAAAUCACCACAGCUUUGCGCUGGUAGCAUUUUUCUAGCUUAUCCAGAAGAGCUCCCACAUCAUCUGGUAACUCGGGAAAUAUGAAAUGACACAGUUGUCCAAAACCUACAAAAUAAGUCAAUCUUAAGAGAACGAUGGUGCUCAGAUGAAUCUCUGAAUACAUAAUAUAGCAAGGUGAAAUAUGUUGAAAUCUGAAGAAAACAUAGAACAGUUUGAAAUUGAGUCAAGACCUGAAUUUCUGGUGGAGGACCAGCCUUGGGCGAGUGGUUUUCUAUCAGAGCUCUCUGCUUCCUCUAUGUUAGCUGGAAGCAGAAAAGGGGAAAAUAGAUCACAGCAGGAAUCUCACACCUUUGCUUGUGCUCAGCUUGGCAUGCAGACUGACAGAUAUUUAAGAGAAGUGAGGGCUGUGGUACCCCAUGGGAAAUGAAUACGUCUGGAAAAGAAAUCGUUGGCUAAAAGUGGAUAGAAGCUGUUCCUCUAAGUUCUUGCUGGAUGGAUGUUUAUUUCCAUGUGCCUGACGCUCUGGGGUGUUCUAAGCCACAGAGUCCUUGGUGGGUUUCAGUGUGGCCUUGUAAGCAGCUGGGCCAACAGCUCUUGGAAAUGAGCAGUGAGCUGUUGAGGAAAGGUAAGUGGGAAUACCCACUGGUGCUGGAGACUUUGUCUC